rnacentral:rRNA from 1 species
AUUGAACGCUGGCGGCAGGCCUAACACAUGCAAGUCGAGCGGAGCGGGGGACGGGCGAGUAAUGCCUAGGUAGCUGCCUGGUAGUGGGGGAUAAAGUCCGGAAACGGGCGCUAAUACAGCAUACUAUCAGAGGAGUCUAGGCUGGAUUGGUUAGUUGGUGGGGUAAAGGCCUACCAAGGCGACGAUCCGUAACUGGUCUGAGAGGGUGAUCAGUCACACUGGAACUGAGACACGGUCCAGACUCCUACGGGAGGCAGCAGUGGGGAAUAUUGGACAAUGGGCGAAAGCCUUAUCCAGCCAUGCCGCGUGUGUGAAGAAGGUCUUCGGAUUGUAAAGCACUUUAAGUUGGGAGGCGUUACCCGCAGAAGAAGCACCGGCUAACUCCGUGCCAGCAGCCGCGGUAAUUC